UUUUUCAUGCCAAAGCUCAUGAUUUCAAAUGUGAGGUAAAAUGGAGUGGAGCAUAUCAGGAGGGGGCUGGUUCGACUCUUGGCGAAGAGGUGGAGCAGUGCAACGCCUUCCUCUCGAGGAUUGCUGUUACGACAAAGCACAUGUCAAAAGCGGGACGCAUUGACAUGCUGACAAUCAUGGCCAUGCGCUGGAACCAACAAAAGUUUGACAACUUGGCUUCUACCCUUGCCCGCCGAUAUCGGAAGGCCACAAUAGCCCUGCAAUGCCAGUUGCAUAACCUGGAGGCCAUGAAAACAGAAAUGGACAUCUCUGACAAUCAACUGGAG